rnacentral:rRNA from 1 species
CCUACGGGUGGCAGCAGUGAGGAAUAUUGGUCAAUGGGCGCUAGUCUGAACCAGCCAAGUCGCGUGAAGGAUGACUGCCCUAUGGGUUGUAAACUUCUUUUAUAUGAGAAUAAAGUGAAGUAUGUAUACUGCUUUGAAUGUACCGUAUGAAUAAGGAUCGGCUAACUCCGUGCCAGCAGCCGCGGUAAUACGGAGGAUCCGAGCGUUAUCCGGAUUUAUUGGGUUUAAAGGGAGCGUAGGCGGGUGGUUAAGUUAGUUGUGAAAGUUUGCGGCUCAACCGUAAAAUUGCAGUUGAUACUGUCAGCCUUGAGUACAGUAGAGGUAGGCGGAAUUCGUGGUGUAGCGGUGAAAUGCUUAGAUAUCACGAAGAACUCCGAUUGCGAAGGCAGCCUUCUGGACUGUAACUGACGCUGAUGCUCGAAAGUGUGGGUAUCAAACAGGAUUAGAUACCCUAGUAGUC